UUAUGCUGGCAAAGUACUGACCUGGAAGAGGAGAGAACAGGAUUACGUUGAAUUGUUUUGGAACGCGCAUCGAAAGUACCCGCGACCAAAAAGCUCCCGGAACUUGAGCCAGAAAAACGGCGACGGUGACAACGGAUCCGCUCGGUUCCAGGAGCCCUUUAGUUCCCAAGCAAAAAUACGAAUAAAGAUGUACCUAUGAGCGGCACCGAGUCGGACGUGGCCGGCAUGAUCUCGGCCACCAGCAACAUGAAGACGCGAGAUCUUCUCUCCGGAGUCUGCGGGCAGCACAAAGAUGAGAAGCGUCAUGGAGGACAUCAGCAUGCAGGGGAUGAGCAGGUUGAGGGCGUAGUAGAGCGUCCUUCGCCGUAUGGUCACCAUGAAGGUCACGUCCGGGCUGACCUAUGAGGUCCCACUCGCCGUUGGGCAUGUAGCCCGAGAUGUCGGCCUCGUUCAUCUGCAGGUCCAGCAGCCAGCCGU